UGUUUUAGCAAAAACACAGGGAGGCAAAGUGCAAUCCAAAAGUGAGUUACAAUUAAUCAGCUGAAUAUCAUACUGAGCACUAUUUGACCACAUUAAGCACAUCAAAUACAAAGCACUUACAAUGGGCUCUUCACACCAAGCCAGUAUUCAGCGUAUGCUGUGUCAGACGUGUUUUGUCACCAUAAUCAUACAGGCUUUCCCACACCAGGUGCCAGAGCAUGAGCCACAAAGGGCAGAGCCUCUCCAAAACGCUUUGAUGUCCUGUCCCUCGCAGGAAGGUGGGGCUGCAUUGUACAGAAAUGCAAACAGCGCCAUUUCUGCGAAUUCUAGGUACUUCGAAUUUCAUUACAGUUUUUAUUUGUUUUGUUAAAGGUUCGUUAAUGGGAGAAAUAGUGGAGAAUCACAGGGAGCCGAGUGGACACCAGUUCCGGGGAAGGUUAGGGCAAUAGGCGAGCGGACAGAAGCGGCGCUUCAGCCCGGUGCGGCUGGUCCGUGUCCGCACGCUGCCCAGUGGGUGGUGCUGCGGGCAAAGGCUGCUUGGAAGCGCAGCCCGACGAGCCGCAUCCCCGCGCCCCCGGCUCCAAGCUGCAGGGCCGGCCGGCACCGGGGAGCCGCGGCUGCUGCGCUCCGAAGGGUUAAAAGCCGUCGAGCCCCAUGCGUGGGAGGGGUCGGGGCAGUGUGGGGAGAAAUGCAGAAAAAGUAGGUCAGCUGCGCCCAGCGGCGGAGCGGAACGGAACGGAAUGGAACGGAACGGAACGACAAGGGAAGGGAUGGGAUGGGACGGGUCAGGGCGGGCAGGGGGCUCUCCCUUGCCGGGGUCUGCCGGCGCUCCCGUCCUGACUCCAGGCGUCUGCAUUUGCUCCCAGCCAUUGGCAGUUGGACAUCUCAGCGAGCAUUACAAACCUAUAGCUGCUGCUAGGCAUCUGUUGUCUCCACCUGAUGAGGGGCAGUGGCAAGGUUGGUCUUGAUAAAAGGUGGUUCGCAUAAGGACUGUACACCUACCAGUCAUAAGCAUGCAGUCCCAAGUAACGUUUUCCAAAAAAGUCUUUCUCAAGACAGAGUCACCAUGUUGCAAUGGGAAGAUUUUAUGAGCUGGUUGCAAAAAUUCAUUUGUACUUUUUGGGUGGGAGGUGAAUUUUGAAACUGAAUUUUUACAAAGCUCAAGAGCUCUAGCAAGACUUCUGCAUCAUGUUCAGAGCUUCCUUGGGAAAUCCAGUAUCUUCAAACAUUGCUUCUAUGUCAAGGCAUACACCUACAGACCUGCUCACUAAUACACCAGGCACACCAGUAACAUGACCUGUUUUUCUUUUGUGGCCACUUACAACUCCAGUGAGAGCAAAAUAUAUGUGCGAAUCGGUCACGCGUUAAGUAACGUCACUAUCAUCUGUCACGUGUUUGUUCACUUAUCUGUUCCCCAAGGAGAGGAGUGUUUGUUUUGAGGUUUUACAUGGCUCUAAACAUUUAUUCCAGUAAUGUCAAGGUCAAAGAAAGGUGUUCUUCACUUGCAGUAGGAGCUGGUGUAAUCUGAGAUAAGGUCCCAGAGGAAAGGAAGCCUACUUCACAGUCACGGCUUGGCCAUCAAAAACAAAUGCAUUCUGCACAGACACACAUCACCCUCCAUCUGGAGGGCUACCUCAUGUUAGAAGAACAUCUCUGUCAACCCUCAUGCUAUAACCCAGUUCUUCAUAUAGUCUGAAAUGAACUGUCAUAUCAAUUCCCUCUUUCCUUGGCAUGGUAGCAUUAGAAGCAAACUCUGUUCUGUUCAAAACAAGGCCACAAGUACUAGAAUCACAGCUUUUUCAGUAAUAUUUUAAUCAAAAUUAUUAGUACUUUCUUACUUUUUGCUGAGCAAAGGGAAAAUUCAGCUUAUUUGUUGUUUUGAUUUUGUUUGUUUGUUUUUUUAACUUAAGCUACAAAUUCAUUAAAGGAAAUUAAUACCUCACAGGAUACAAAAGAACACAAAAGACCACAUGUGUUUGUUGUUACUGUUCUCCAGACUUCUUUUCCUUUAUUGCAUUCUUAAUCACCCAUUACUGCUUUUUCACCUGCUGCAAGCUAUAAGCAAGAGGGUAGCAAAUACAUGGCAACACAUGUAACAAUACAUUUAAAGUGUGCUAUUCUUUCCUGUUCCAAGGUUUUAGAAGUAACUUUAAUGCACAUGCCUCCAAAAUGCAGCAAGAAAACCAAAAUAACUGUCUUCUUACAAAAGAAGAAAAAAAAAAGAAAAAAGAGAAAAGAUCUUCAGCUGAGACACUUUUCAUUUAGCCAUGCUUAAAUAUCAGAGAAUUAAUACUGCCUACAAACAACAAAAGGGUCACACGCUCAUCAUGAACUAAAAAAUUAACAUCUAGCAAUGCAAAAAUGCAAAUGUUUGAAAAAAGAUUUUGUCCAAACAAUGCAAGGAUUAUGAGGAAAGAAAUAAGUAUGCCCAUUGAAGGGAAAUGGCAUCCUACGCAGUGUGCAAUCAUUGGAUAUACUAGAGAAGUAUCUCCUAAAUAAUGAAGAAGGGGGAAUUAGUUGGAGUUCCUAUUCAUUGCUGAGUAAAACUUUUCACUAUUUUUUCAUCAAUGCAAACUCAUGUUUAGGAAGACAGGAUAGUGUAUGACAAAUAUUCCCUCUCCCUGCUGUUGAGCGCCUCACUGUACCAAUUCAGGUGGGGAGACUUCCCCUGUUUAAAAUGUCUUUUCUAUCCAUUUGCCUGCUGAGGAUAAUCAGAGUGUUUAAGCAUGGUGCAUAGCCUCCACUCCUGGGGACAGGGAGGGGCUGACCAACGCCAAUGUGGCUAACAUUAUUUAGUGGAUUUAUAAGUAGGAUUCCUUGGACUCACUGCUACUCACUAUAUAUUUUAAAACUUCAAAGAUGGAAAUGUACAAAGCUGAGAAUGGACAUGGAGUACACCCAGUCUUAUCACUGAAAUCAUUGUGUGUCAGUUAUCAUGUCCAUACUAAUAAAGUUAGCCAGACAGCUCUUCUACCUGCACCUGGAGGGCACAGAUUGCUGGGGUAGCUCUCUUGGGUUACUCCUAGUGGGAAGAAAUGUGUGGGAAGCCCUGGUUUUGUGUAGGGAUGAAGACUAUAGAUAUGGAAUACAGUAGUGAAGACUAUGGAAGUCAUUACAAUCAGUUGGCAGAGAGGUCAUUUUAAUUUAUAGUGAAAUCUAAGAGGAAGUCUGAUGCGUUUAUGUACUCACAGGCAGCCUUUUUCUCUGCCCAAGUGGCUGCAGCAUGCUUUGUUUCUUAGCAGCAUGUUCAGGAAGAAUCAAAGGGUGGGAGAGUGAGCUGGAGAACACCUAGGCAAUGGUCAGUGGAAGUGGAAUGUAAAUAUGGAAGGCAAACAAUGCCACCCCUCACAGUCAGAUAUCAGACCCAUGAGCAGCUAUUAGCCCUCAGAAUGAGCACUGCCUGAGAUAGUCAGUGCACAGUCAAACCAUAUUUUACCAGCUGAAAGAGGAAGAAAGGAGAAUUUUGUACACUUUCUACUUCUUCAUCCUGUUUCCUCAGAUAUGCAGGAGUUAACGAGAGAAAAGGAUCAUUAUAAGAUAGUCUUUGACCCACAAUAUAGAAUAAUUGCCCUGUUAGUUACAGUUGCAACUGGAUUCUUCGGUACACUGUGUGGGGUAGAGAUGACUAAAAUGUGUGCCUUCAGUCAUUUGUUGACUAACACAGUCUUUGUGGUCAACUCAUGCACGUUCCACUGCAAAUGCUUUUGAUAAUGCAGCUAUAAAGGCUUGUGAAUGUCAGUGUAGGAGGGCAAAAUAUUUUGAGCUGCUCAGCUUCACUUUAUAAAUAUUUUUGGAAGCCACCAGUGUGAAAUGCUCCAUUCACAUUCAGCACUGAAAAAAAUAAUGGCUUCUUCUAAAACAAAGACACAUCUGUCAGUGCAGUAGAGUAUAUGAAUUUACAUAAUCUGCAGCACAGAAAAAGUACUUUCUCAAACAAAUUAAGUCAAAGCAGGCAGAGAAAGAACAGCAUGAAGCUCUCUAUGCAAUGUCAACAAUAAUUAACAGAGUACUUUAUAGUCUGCCAGUGCUUCCCGUGAAUAAGGUACUCUCAGGCAUUUGGUAUGAACAGGCUGCCGUCCUGUUUCUCUGCUGCAACCCAAAGCUGCAAGUCUUCACUUUUACUGGCUAGCCUAUCAUUAACUUUUAAAUAUUGUAUGCCACCCAACAUUUCCCCUUAGAAGGACAAAGGACAGAGGGCAUGAAGUUUCUGUUGCAACCGCUGCGGGAAUUCAUGGGGUUUGCUUUGCCGUGUCAUACUGGGAAAUUCAGGGAAUUUACUUCUUUCUCAGAUGCGUCAAAAAAAAUUAAAAAGAAAAAAACCAAAAAACAAACAAACAAACCUAAACAUGUGUCACCUUGCACAGAACUUGUUAAUCCCUUUAUUCCUCACUUUUCCUGUUGAUACCUUGGGAGAAGGCAGCUUUCUUGUUUCCCUCACAUACACAUGAAACAUUUGGAAGUUUUCUUCAACUCCUACUGAUUCUCCAGGGAUGUAGACUGCAGACAUUUUGAAUCAUGGAGUCUCUUCUCUUAGGCUGCCUGUGCAUAAAAUGCAGAACUGAUGUGAGGCUGCUUUUGUGCACAGAAUAGUAUUGUAUUGCUGCUGUACCUCUGAUUUAAUCACACUUCCUUUUCAUGUACUUGCAGAUUAAAUUUCCAGUAUUGCCACAGAAUGGGACACUCCUGACAUCUUUCUCUUUUUGCAAACGGUAAAACUGCAGCCUUGCCUAAAGCAGAGAGAUUUCCACAAGUUUUUUCCUUAUAGACUAAUUUUGACUGAUUUCUUCCACGUGUAAGAGUGCUCAGAAGGUUGUCAGGGAGACAACUGUUGACACAGCUUUACCCUGGUAUUUGAAGGGCUUGGGCAGUUGAGUGCUUUUCAGCAGAUUGUGCAUUCGUGCAGAUGCAAGCACACUGGCAGACUGCAGACCUGACUUACUCAUUUGCUGGUCUGAGCUCACGAGCAAGCACUACCUCCAAACAAGAGCUGUAAGAGGAGGUCAGCAUACCUCAGCUAGUGAUAUUUGAACUGGGUUGAGCAACAGAAAAAAACUGGUGACCAAAAGUCAAGUACAGUCAGUGUGAGACACAGGACUUAUUUGGAAGGUUGGUCUGCACUGUGUACAUUGCUGCUAGUAGCUCAGCUGGUUGUUUAAACUCAUCCAGACCAAUAUAAAACACUGUAAUAAUGCUUCUGUGAUGCCAGCAUCCUUUGUAAAGUACAGCCCUGAGUCCAGAAAUUCCCAUCAGCCUGCAGUCUGUGUCAUUGCCUCCAGCUCCUCUGUGGAUCUCAGUGCUUUCUUCCUUUCCUUCCUGCAAGCUGUGACCAAAAUGAAAUCAAAACCAGCCAUCACGUUCCCUGAAUUGGUGUAAAGGUUGAAAACAAGUAUAAUGAAGUUUGCACUGACUGUGGCUAAUUAGCAAUCAUUUAUGAUUAAGCCAUAUAAAAUGUUUGUUAUUAGUGAAAGAGCUGAAUGCUUCAGUACACAGCAAAGGUCCAGGGCACAGAGAAGUUAAGUGACUUACUCAGUUUGAUGCAGCAAUUCAGUGACAUAGGUAGAAAUAGGCCACUCAGUUUUCUCUCUCAAAACAGGUCUAAUCUCUAGAUCAUGCUUUGAUCUCCCUUUAGCAGCAGAAAAUAAAACCCCUCUGUUCACAGUAUAAGUCUUUACAGAAAUUACUUUCACGUUACAGACUCACCAUUAUCACGUCUCUGCAAGAUCAAACAAAGAGAGGGGCAGUAGGAGAGGAAAAGGAGGGUUACUUUGUGUCAUCUACUUCUACAGUCUGCUCAGCAAAGCCAAAGAGGAAAAACAAUUUUUUUUUCAGACAGAUGUCUUUUACAGCACAUCAAACACUUCUCAUGGGCGUAUGUCAGAGACAUUUUACUACAAAGGCUUUGUCCUUUGCAUUCACAGCAGCCCGGAUGUUUAUCAGGAUUUUCCAUUCCCUAAAUUCAAGAUCACAUUGGGAUCUGUGUUAAGUUGGCAGCAGUACAUCAAUAAAGUGUAAAAUACAAAAUUCUUAGCAAAAAGAAAGCACUAACACAAAUUGUUCCUGCACUAAGGCUGUGGUGGGGGAGUUCCUGUCAUCUCUAAAGGAAUGUCUGGAGCAGGAAACAGACUAUUUUCAAUGCACUGGCUUGGAGAAAGUCAGUAUGAGAGAAUGAUUGUCUUUCCUAAUAGAUUUACUUAUAGUAAAUGUUGAAGUGCUCUGUGCAAAGCAUGUAGCCAUAAUAUCAUGAAGACAACAUCCCAUUAUUUACUAUAUAACAUCUCAUAUACACAUUGUACUCUCUGUUUUGUUUAUUCAUAAGGGCAGUUUGUAAUAUUUGAAGUCAUCUGGCACAACAAAGAGCAUUACACACAGAGACAAACCAAAUUUAAUAUUGCUACAUACUCUUCCUCUCUUAGGCCAGGACCCAACAGCAUCUUGUGUUUCCUCUCUCCUCACCCCAUGCUUAUGGUAUGCAUGGUGUAUAAUCUCAGUCCACAGAUUACUACAGGAUCCUUCAAAAAACUCUUGUAUCCUUCCUUGGUGAGGUGUUCUUCUUUCUAGGAACAAAGCAGGUCACUGAGUGUUGCUUUAAGGCAGUACUCCCAGCCUCUCUGCCAGUAGAACAGCACAGUAGAGCAUGGUGCAUGCUCCCCCAGCAAGCUGAUCUGCUCCACUCCCUGGAAAUUUGAAUCACCAAGGCACAUCAGCAACAGUAGAAGCACCUACCCCCAAACCCAAUACUUUAUUCUUUUCACUUGGGAUGACACUGAGCUUCCACGAGACAUUCUGUUCCCUGGCACAACCAUGGAUUGAAAUGCUUCAUUGAAAUUGAAAGGAAAUUUCAUUGUAAGCCAGAAGGACAGCAUUCUCCAACACUUAGUGCAGAAAAAGACGAUAGGCAGAAAUAGCAGAGAUGUCUGAGGUCCCUUUUGCUUCUGUUUGGAGUAUAAACAAUCUCACAAUUCUUCUCUAUGCCAAUUCUCUUGUAGGUUGAAGUAACUGUUUUCCCGUUUUAGUGAUCCUAGUUUCUCAAGAAGGUAAGACAUCAGGUAAUCCUAUACUUUACUGUCUGCCUACCAGCAGUGCUACUGUGUAGUCUCACACAGCAUUUGUGCACUGCCCUUGCAUUCACCAGCAAGAAACGAACACAUCCCUCCAUCAGGCUCCAGCAAAUGUGUUUCUGCAGAGAAGGGAACUCAUGUCUGUUACUGGUAGCAGCAACUCCUUCCCCAGUGAGUCUGAACAGCCUCUCUCUCCAGGUUAAACCAAAUGGCUUUUGUUGUCUCUCAGAGAUGUGAGUGAAUGGAUGUGACGCCCCAAAACUCCUACCUCUCAGAUCAUAUACUACUUAUGUGAAAACAGUGGGUAAGCUUCUGGCAGCUCUUCCUGUUUAAAAUGGACUGGGGAAAAGCAGCAUGUAAUUUUUUGGCAGCAACACUGGAACAGUAAAACUAAUGAGUCCCCACAGCUAUUCCCACCUGUUCUUACAGCAAUAUUAUAUCGGAUAUAUACCCAUCCAUGAGUCUAUCUGUGAUGUUAGCUCAAACUAUAAAAAACCUCCAAAAACAAUCCACCCAGACCCCAGAGGUCUUUUCCUGCAUAGGAAAAAGGGUAUAAAACAGCAUGUGGAAAUUUCACCUGUUUUCACAUCUCACUUAAGUUGUGUCUGAACUCCUUCCAUGGAAGGGACUCAAAGCAAGACAGAUGUGUAUUAACCCAAAAGUGAUACUGACCAGAGAUAUUGUAACACCUGAAUAUGGAGCAAGAUGAGGGUGAGUCAGCAGAAGAUGUUUGUCUUCUAUGCGGAGUCCGAAAAUUUGGCUGUCUCUAGCAGGAAAUUACACUAAUACUGAAUCACAGUUCUGUAUGCAUCAUCAUCAUGUACAGAUGUUUUCCAUGGUGAGGAAGUUGUUGUUAGGUAAGUUUUAAAAUUUUACUCAAUAAUUUUAUUUCAAAAUGUGUCCUAGAGCAUCCAGUUUUCCUUGUGCAUGAAAUUGUCUGCAGUAUUUAUGAUUUAUGAUUCUCUUCAGUAAAAACUCUGACCAAGACACUCCAGGGAUAGAUACAACAACCCUUCCAUAUUCUACCUGAAAGAGACAAAUAGUUUGCAACUAAUCUCCAAAAAAAAAAAAAAAAACCACAGAAAAGAAGAUUAAAGAACUGAAAAGGAUCAGUGGAAUGCUCAUAAAAUGUAGAAUUAUCUCAUGACAAAUGCACUAGGAUUGCCUGAGAUUUUCCUGAGAUAUCUUUAAUUUUUUUCCAUAUGAUUUUUUUUUUGUUAGUGGAUGUAUCCUCAGAAGGAAUAUACUAAUUUAAAAAUGCUUCCAUUGUGAUUAGAAUAGGCAAGCUUUCUGUGCUCCAGAAAUUUUUUAAAAAGUCUUGGAAAACAACUUUAAAAAGUUCCAAAGAUUCUAGAGGUUGACAGGGAGUUAAUUCAACUUAUCUGUAGCAAAACAUGUUUAAAAUUUAUUUCUUUUAAUAGCUAUUAUGUUGACAGUGCAGUAAAGAGUUAUGCUGAUAAUAGAAAAAUCAUCCCUUUUGCAAAUAAUAACAGUAAUGAGGCAUUAUAGUACAAGGGGAAAAAGAAGAAAAGCAUUUCAUCCUGGAUACUCUUUCCCCUCAGAUAAUAUGGCCUUUGGCAAACUGUGAUGUUACAGGUCUUUAAAUAAUGAAGUUUCCAAACAAAAGAUUGUGUAAAAAAGAUUUGAAGAAGAUAUAUUUAUAAUUAAUGAUGGAGCUUGGAAGAAGUCCAACAAUGAAAGCAAUUCUUGUUUUCUAACCUGAAGUACAAGCUUUCUAUAAACAGACUGAAGAUUACCCCAGUAAAGAAGCAAAGUGAUGAAGUAAAACAGGGUAUACAUACCAUAUUUGAAAAUGUUUCAGGCUUUCAGAUAUCCUCAACCAAAAUGUAAGCUAUCUAUCACAGAUAGAUUUGGGAUGUAACAUCAGUGGAAGUCUAUGGAGACAACCUUGCAUCAAUACAGCCCCAAAUUAUCCUGCUUCCUUUCAUAGUUACUUCUGGGUGGAAACAGUUCUACUAUCUUUUCAGUAGCCCAUAAGUCCGCAUUGCACAGAGGGAAGCAGCUGAAUUGCAGUUGUUCUUUUAGUGUUUACUGUUUUGUUCUCCUGGUGUGUGCUGUUUUUAUACAUUCACUGCUAGUUCUCUGAUUAAGGCUUUAGCCUAAAUAUAGGGGGAAAGGGAAGGGGUGGUUUGGUCUUUGCAAAAGCCAAACCAAACCUGUUUCAGUUCCAGGUCCCAUUUUUUCUGAGCCCUGAAAGUUAAAAUCUGAAUGGCUUGGGUAAGUGCUUCUAAUUCUAGCCUACUCCUAUUUAAAACAAGAGGGAGGAUGUGUUUUUGAGAAGCUAAAAGUAGUAUGGCCUGGAAUGAAGUCUCUGAAGACAUUUAGGGAAGAUUCAGAUAAACAAUUCCAUUCCUCUCCCUACCCCUUGUAUCUGGCAUUAAUUUUUAUCCUAUCCCUUCCUUGCUUUCUAUCUCUUGGAUAUUGUUUGCUUUCCCUCAAUUUCCAAUGGAGCUUGAAAUUAGAUUUCUUUUACCACCUUGCUAGUGAACAAAGAUCUGAACGACACAUCCUGGUGAAAGCUAAUUCUCAGACUGAGUCACUGCGUUAUCUUCCACCUCUGUACCUGAACUGGCUGAAACCACACAAAAGAAAUGACUGUGUAGUUCUGUGUCCAACUCACACUGUCAUUAUUUGAUUGUUGAAAGGAUAACUCUGAGUUUAGCUGGACAGAAAUAGAACCAUCCAAUUGUAAUGGAUUUAGUCUCCAUUUAUGACAGCAGAAAUUGGGCCACACUGUUACUCAAGAUAGAAACAGCACUCAUUGUCACAAUUUAUAACUUCAUCAGGAGUUAACUUGGGAGCUGCAAGCUGGCAGCAAUAAUUCAUACAUUGCUGCAAACUGUAUUUUCAUAAUUUCUGUUGAUACUGGCAAAGUACUUGUUUUGGCUUUCUGCAUGUUGCAGUCAUUAGUAUAAUAUAACAUAGCCACUCAGAUAUAUUUAGGGGAAGGUCAUUUUUUAUACAAAUUAUUAUGUACUGGGAAGUUAAAUAAACAACCAAGUUAAAGAUAUCAACAGUCCCAAUUCUUGAUCCAUGCCAAAGGGAAUUUUAAAUACUAGUUGGUUCAAUUGGAGGAAAAGUCAAGCAGUGAUUAUGUCAGUUGGAAGAGAGAGGACAUUGCAUUUCCUUUUAUUUCAGACUCACCUGGAAUGCUACUCCUUGAAAAGGGCUAAAUACAUCUGUAAAGCAAGAAGUGCUCAAAGACAAGCUAGAACACACUUGGUCACUAUACCAUUAGCAAGAUUACUCAUCCUGUUCAUAAUAAUGAAAAUUCCUAUUGAGACUUCGCUGAGCAAAAAGUACAGUAUCCUGACUAUUUAUUAACAGCUCUUUGGAAUGCGUUUCCAAGGCACAAAAGGACACUGACCUUGAAAAUAGUAUUUGGGUGGAAGUAAAAGUCCACAGUAUUCAUUUUGCAAGUUUGUAGUUGUGAAAGUUACAAAACAAGUCACUUUUGAGAAGUACUCAUCUUUUACGCUCAUUAGAUUGCAAUCCAGCGAUGACUUAACAUGAUAUUUAAACAGUAGUGUUUUUGCCAAUGAGUUGCAUGAUCAACACGAACUGCUAAUGUUUUCUAUUCUAAACCUUCUCAAAAUGUCAAGUGUUCUUGUCAGCUGAGUGGAAGUGGCAUAAAAGUAACUUUUGAAGUUGUUGUUGAUGAGAUUCCCUUGGGAAACUCAGUAUAUAUACUGAAAUUAUAUUCACAAUAUUCUCUAAUCUCUCCUGCUGCAAAAGAUUUAGGCUCCAAACUCACAUUUCCAUUGAUGGUAAUGUAGCACAGUCUGGGUCUUUCUUCCAAAAACGACACUGAGCAUUCUUAAAUAACACAGGUCUUGUGUCCUGAAUUCUCUCAAGUGGCAAGAAAAUAAAAAACCUAAAUUUAAGAAAUUUGUUUUGAAAACCUAGACCUGAUAACUACCUCUGUUACAACCCUCAUAAUUCCAGUGCUGUUAUUUUUUAGGGGUUUUUCACACAGCAUAUCACCAGGAGAGCAGAAAAAUUCACAGUUGUCUAAGUCACACUGCUAUAGCAAAUUCGCAGAUUUCUUGAUUCCCAGUUUCUUCUGUGCCUUGGAACAUCAGACAAAGGUAAGGAAACUGAUGCAUUACCUAAGACCUGGUCUCACUCCCAUGGUUAUCAUGUGUGAACCUGUACAAGCCAUAUACAGAACUAUUUCGAAUAACAAACUGAGGCAGAACUUUGAUGUGCCUGUCCAGCCUCAGUCAGAUGGCUCCAGAGCUCUUUUGGCUCGUGUAGGGCACAGUUGCUCCUCCUUGAUUUCAGCCCAUUGCAGCGGGAAGAACCACAGACUUGUAGGGUUUUGGCCCAAAGCAGUGCUGAUGAUGUUUGUUACACCAUUUACAGCAAAAGCCAUGAAUUAAUUUGCUUCUAAAGUUCCAAAUAAGUCAAGAUCAUCACUGACACUGUAUUUCCAGUGCCAUGGGUUUCACAUGUUGCAGUUCAGGUGUUUCUUGGACUACCAAAAAAAAUUUUGUACUCAAAGUUUUUCCCAAAACUUUAGUUAGACAGGUGGAACUUUACGGACUACUAGCACAGGGACUGUACACUUGUGAUCAGUGUUUGGUACUUUAUUCACACAUCAGAAAGUCACAGAAUGGGUCAGGUCAGAAGAGACCACAGUGGGUCACCUGGUCCAACUUCCCAGCUCUAGAAGAGCCAUCCUAGAGCACGUGGCACAGGAUUGUGUCCAGAAGGUUCUUGAAUAUGUCUUUUCCUCAGAAGGUGCUGAAAUGCCCUAAAGUCUCUGUUCAUUUGUUGAAAAGCAGAUUGGUAUUUUAUUCUGCUGUUCCAUGCACAAGUGUCUGAUUGCAAUAAUAAAUAGUAUUUUGUAUAGGGGAACUCAGUUUUCAGUUUUAGCACACCACAACAACUACAGUGGUACAAAGCACAAGGGUUUAUAAAGAUGAGCAUUUGUAAAUGGCACUUUAUGGGUAAAGUGAAAAUAAGCAUAAAAAUCUAAAAGCAGGGUAGAAUUUGGUAUGUAUUUUUAUUAUUUGACUUUGUCUCUGCAUUUUUUCACUUGACCUGUAGCAAACAUUAUUUAGGAUAUCAGUUCUAUUAAAUAAACCUUUCAUAAUUUGAGUGCUUUCAAAUUGCUAACUGCUCAUUUGUGAUCAUUUAGUAACACUCAGUGAUGAUGUCUCUAUAACAAGUAAUUCAUGUCUAAACUGGCUUUCACAUUGCUGAAAUGUAAAAGUUCAAGCAUGCUGGUAGAACAAGUUGGCCUCCUAAGAACAUUUCAGGGUCAUUUCACACGUUCGAUCACAUCUGGUCUUGUAACUAUGACACUCCUGGAUCUAAAAGCCUGUUUUCACCCAGGUAAUAUACAGUACUGCAGCCUCAUUUGCAUUGUGUUCACAAACUUAGCAAGUGGGUUGAAAAAUGCACAGGGAUAUUCAGCAGAUAGGUUAACCCACAUCCAGAGAUAUCCAGAAUGUGGGUUAUGUACAGGUAGAAGAGGUGGAAGAGUACAGCUGCCACAUCCAGGUCAAUGAGAUGCAUCUGGGUUCUCAGCCCAUCUUUGCCUCAGCUGGCUUCCUCUGUAAACCAGACAACCGGGCCAGUUGGAGAUGCUGCUUAGCAGCUCACCCUGCAAGGAGGACACUUUCACUAUUAGCCUAAACUGCUCACACAGUCCUGACAGUUAUAAAGCCCAGCAUUUUGCAAUAUUGACUCACUGCCACGAAGUAUUAAAUUAAUCUUUAGAACAUGAGGUAAGAGCUUUCUUAGUUACUAACAAGGACCACAAACUCCUCAACAAACUACAGAGACAUAAAUGCAACAAAAAACAUCCUACCAGUAUGAAUUUUUAACCAAAACAUCAGAAGCCAGGGGACUGGUUAGAAGCAAGAGGCUACUGGUUUUUGUAUAAAGUAAUAAUGACUUUAAUGCUUAUAAUUUUCAGGUGAUUUAUUUAAUCUUUGCACACAUCCACAAUGAAGGAAGGCAAAACAAUUCUGUCUGUGCUACAUGGGGAUGACAAGGCAGCAAGAAUACAGAACCUGCCCAAGGCCAGCAUGAGGAGUGGAAUGCCUGGCUGCCAGCCCCAUUCUCAAAAUACAUAGUUCCUUUCUAGAGACAGCAGCUGUUUGUUCUCUAACACUUAUAGAGCAUCUAAGAUUAUUUCCAUUUAUGUUAAUAAUCUGCGCAGUCCAGUGAGAACAAAAUUGGGUCAUAGAUGUUUAAACUGGCCCAAUUUCACUGAAGACUCCUGGUAAACUCACGGUUACACACAACUCUGUAAUUAUCAGGUUCAGUUUGGGAAGCUGAGUGGUACAUGCAGAGGGCUGGGCCAGUAACACAAAAGCUGUGCACUCAGCUUUGUUCUGCCACAAGCAUGGUCAGUCUUUCGGCCAGGAAAAUUCCUGUAGCCUGAAAUUAAGCUGAGAGUUGCAUGCAUUCUGUGUAUCCUCCUAUGCCAUUGCUAGAGGUGUGUACCUUCUGCAAGGAAAAUCCAAGCAUUUCCCCAGCCUGUGACCAAUGCAGGCACCAGAGACAUAAAUGCACAAUAGCUUGGGCAAAAAGGCUUCCUCUAGGAUAUAUGAGCAUCCGUCUGCAUUUCGGUUGUGUGAUGGGCUUGUCCAUCCCAUGACAAAGGGAGCAUUGUGGGGCUCCAGGGAAAGUGGCUAAUAAGAGUGUAUAGCCAGGAGAAUUGUCCCGGCAAAGCAGGAUCCAGAUUUGAAGCCCAUCCCAGGUAGGAUGUCCUUGUUAUGCUCUAGUAUAUUUUUGAGACUUUGGGCAAAACAUAAGCAUUUAAACUUUUUUCCACAACAAAGCUGAGGAUAUUAUAUUUUUUUAAAUCCUAUAUUCACCAAAAUGUUAUCAUUUUUAAGCAGUAGAAUUGCAUUGAAGCUGGUGGACAAUACCUUGUGACUGCAAGAAAGACCUCAGUGCUUCUGACUUCCAUUGAGUUUCUGCAAAAGCUGGACACAGAAGCCAGGAGCCAUGAGCCAUUGACAUUUGUAUAUCAGGAACAGUAGCAUUUAAAUGAACAUGCUAAUAUCCAUUGAAGAAAUUUGUUCUUAUUACUUUUUAUUUUUGAGCAGUGGUAGGCAGAGUGAAAAUGGAUGUCAAUCUGACUGCUUAUUACAAACAUUGUCCUGCUUUUUGUACCAGAUUUGACCCUUACUAUAUGUCUAGAGGGCAUACUGAGACACUGUAGGCAUUUCACUGGGGCAAUCCUGAGCUGCUGCGUAGCACUCUGGACAUCCUUACUGUCACUGAAGAAAUGCAGGUACUAUGAAAUGAUAAUUAAGCCCACCUAAGAAUCCCAAACUGUGUCAAACAGCUAACACUGAGUCUUGUGUAAUAACCUACAAUUAGCAUGAAAUGCCCAAGGCAUUUGCACAUUGACAACAUGGUUUAAUCCAGUAAUAAAGUAGGUUAAAAUGAUUAUUAUUUUAGCUAAUAGUAUUUUUAACAGAAGUGAAAAUACAGAAAAGAAGCUACAGAAACAUAUUGACUUCAGUUGUGCCUCCCUGAGAAGUCUGUAUGGAUUUUGUUAUUUAUGGUCCAUUUUUUCAAAAAGGACCCAAGGCAAAUGUAGAAAUCCCUGGUUGUAUGAAAUGGAUGGAUGUGCAUCAAAAUGAGGGAUUUGCAUGUUUAACUGCCCAUAUUUGUAUCCUUCUAUCCAUUUUGCAUAUGCAAAGGCAAAGAUUGUUAUAUUUAUCAGUGCAUAAAUGAAAGGAGAAGAGAUAAAUGACCUGGUUUGCAGAGGUGCUGAGCACAUGCAGUUUCCAUUUAUUUCAACUGGAGUGUGAAAAACAGGCCCUAAGUGACUGGCUCAAGCUCACACAAUGCAUGAUUGUCAGUGCCAGGAAGAAAACCCAGAAAUCCUUCCAGUCUAAUCCUCCCAGUCUAAAUCCUCCCCAGUCUAAACUCUAGGCACAGUCUCUCCAAGAAAUAAAAGAAAAAAAAAAAUCUGUCGAAUAGCCUGACCGCACUCUUAUUCCUAUCUUAAUUUGCUAAGAGAAUAAAAAAAUGGGACAUGAAAAACUCCUGCAUAAUCUUUAAUGACUAGCAAAUAAUGCCAAGUAGGGCAAGUAAAUAUGUGUGAAGCAUUGCUCACACACCCAUCAACUUGCAUGUGUGUCACAGAUGGUUUUAGUGAAGAGCCAAAAAGAGAAGGAGAGAAAGGAAAAGGAAAACAAGUCCAGAUAAAGGGUAAGCUAGAAAGAGAGACAAAGAUAUUCUCUGUUAUUAAAAAAAAAAAAAAAAAAACCAAAAAAAACCAGUUAAAAAUGCUACAAAAACUAAUGAUGAAAAAAAAAUCACUAUUCCCUUUCCUUGAUAACGUGUGGGCUAAUCUCUACAUAAAUAGAAAUAACAGCCCUUUGAAAUGGCAAUGAUUUGCUUGGAAAACAUUCAUUAAAAACGUCCUGCAAUUAUUGACUCUAUCAUUAUUUCUUGGCAGCAGCUGAGUCUCACUGCAUCUUGUCUUGUUUCUCCAGUGAAAAGCAGAGCAUUGUUUGGGAAAAAACCUACAAAAACAGAAACAAAAACAGACCAAAAAAAAAACCCCACAAGGACAUUGUGUUUGAAAUAUGUGCUUGGUGACAUGGAGCUGAUUGCCCAAAGGAAUCAGGAUACAUAUAUUUGUAUUAUUGUACACGUGAGUAGCUUGAAUCAUGUACUGCUCGCUCUCUUUGUUUGGAUUAUGCAGCUUGGCUGGGCAUCCAUCCAAAAGAUUCACAUUAAAUUCUAGCUAUAUUCAGCACAAAAGUCAUCUAGCAUCAGAGGAUCAAAGUUACAUCAACCAACAAGCACUAAGGAAUUGAUAAGCCACUAAAAUUAGGUCAUCUCCUAGCAGCUGCUUUUGAUGGAUGAAGUAGAAUUUAGCCUCAGGUUUUCUAUUUAAAGAUCUGUUACAGCAUCUUUUCCUGCAGCUACAAUGAGAACACAACAAAGUAUAAUGCGUCUGAUUAAAUGUUUAAUCAUUACUCUUUACUCUUCUGAUUGUUUCUGCCGUGGCACAGAUUUACAGCAUGUACUAUUUGCAGCUUUCCUGGCCCUUUUAAAGCUGACAUUAAAACAGUAGGGAUUUUUAAUUCCUUAGUUGAAAAACCUAAUCAAUUAUUUUUUAAAAAUGUAAAUAAAAAAAUCUUUCAAAGCUGUUUAAUUGCCGCACUUAAAGAGACAGACUGUCAUUCACUGGAACUGAAAAUGGAUAUCUAAGCAAUUAUCCCACCACUGUGCCCUCUGGAAGAAUCACCACAUCACUAGGAACUAUAUGAAUACAAAAGUACGUAUCUGUGCAUAAGUACAUGGAAGGGGGGCUAAGGAAAUUCUUAUGUUUUUAUUAAUUUUAUUUGUGGCUACAUUGUGGUAAAUGAUCUCAUUAAUCUAAUUAACACAUACUUUUAAAAAAUACAAGCUAGUGCACUAGGCUAUCUUUGGUCAUUAGUGACUGGCAUUUUAAUUGCUGGAGUAUAACAUAUGCCCUACCAAGACUUCCUUGUGGUAUCAGGGUAAUACAAAUAGUGCCAUCACUCUCAUCAUUAGCAUCAGAACUGUGAAACAGCUUUAGAAGAGAGUUCAAAAGGAAAUAAACAAGAAAAACUGAAAUAAUUUCAAAUGCAUAGAACCUGCCCUUGACCUGUUCAGAAGGUCGGCUGGCUGCAGCCUCUGUAAAACACUGUUGUGUCAUCGUUUCACAAAUGAAGCUAAUGCAGGACUUCAUUGUCAGGGUUUUCAAUAUCACAUCUCUCAUGUCUGUUAAAAUCACUAGAAUCUUAUUUAAAUAAUCUUGAGAAAUGAAGGGAAAAGAAACAACAUCCAUCCAAUGUAAAAAAUGAAGUAAAUAGUCGUCUGCCUUUUCAAGUAAAAAAAUGAUAGGGAGAAAGACUGAAAAAUAUAGUAUAUGACAAUGCCACAUAAGACACAUAACUUUCCACAAAUGACAGACACGUGCAUGCUGCUCUAAAGCAGUGAUCCUCUGUGUUCCCUUCUGCCAGCCUUGUAAGUGGGCUGUUGCUGGGUAAGAGUCGUAAGAGGUUGAAACACGCUGUCGUUUCCAUUCCAAAUUUGGUGUGCCUGGUCUUUAUUGCUUGCGAAAGCAACAUUAUGCACUGUAAUUCAAAGUCUAGAUCUAGCUUUUUCCAGCUACAUACCUCUUCUUCAACAGAAAGCCCAAACUGGGGCGGGGGGGGGGGGGGG